rnacentral:rRNA from 1 species
AACGAACGCUGGCGGCAGGCUUAACACAUGCAAGUCGAGCGCCCCGCAAGGGGAGCGGCAGACGGGUGAGUAACGCGUGGGAAUCUACCCAUCUCUACGGAAUAACGCAUGGAAACGUGUGCUAAUACCGUAUACGUCCUUCGGGAGAAAGAUUUAUCGGAGAUGGAUGAGCCCGCGUUGGAUUAGCUAGUUGGUGGGGUAAAGGCCUACCAAGGCGACGAUCCAUAGCUGGUCUGAGAGGAUGAUCAGCCACACUGGGACUGAGACACGGCCCAGACUCCUGCGGGAGGCAGCAGUGGGGAAUAUUGGACAAUGGGCGCAGGCCUGAUCCAGCCAUGCCGCGUGAGUGAUGAAGGCCCUAGGGUUGUAAAGCUCUUUCACCGGUGAAGAUAAUGACGGUAACCGGAGAAGAAGCCCCGGCUGACUUCGUGCCAGCCGCCGCGGUAAGAC